ACAUACCAAGGGAUUAACAUAUACUAUGGUCAAGCACAACUCUAUCCUCAAUAACAUAAUUACAUAAACAUAACUGUUCAAAACUUUACAUUACAUUCUUAUCAUUUGUCAUGUCCACAUACUCUAGCUAUUACAUACAUAUGACUUUUCUCUUCUUUUCUUCUCUAUCAAUCCCGUACCUGCAAUCCUGAGGGUUAGGGGAGAGGGGUGAGCUAGAUGCCCAGUGAGUAGAACUAUAUAAAAAAAAAUAUUUAAAACAUGCUAUCAUGAAAUGCGUCACUGCACAGUCAAAUCACAACACGGAUGGACUGAUUCAAAAAUCCCUCAACUCCAUGCCCGGCCCUAUUAUGGGCACCACAGGACUUCGUAUUGCCCGGCCCUAUUAUGGGCACCACAGGACUUCGUACUCGGAGUUAUUGCCCGGCCCUAUUAUGGGCACCACAGGUCUUCGUAUUGCCCGGCCCUAUUAUGGGCACCACAGGACUUCGUAUAUAGAAGGCUAAUGAAUCAUCCUAAUGUCCAUCCACUAUCAUCUAUCACAACAAUACAAUGCGGCAUAGUCGUGAAUUCUAAUGCAAACAACCUAUCAUAUGAUCAUGAUGCAUGAAGCAUGAUAAAAGCAUUUCAUUUCUCAAUUUAAAAGGUUAAGUUUAGUUCCACUCACCUCUGGCUGACUCUGUCAAACUCUCAGCAGCUGGCUCACUGCUGGGGUCCUUGGUUCCUCGGGUCCGAACCUACACAGGUGGACUCCAAUGAGGGACCAACAUAUAUAAUCAUAACUCUAAUGUAUCCCCCAAAAACCCCCUAAAACAUCAUGAAAACAUCACAGAAAAUAUGCAUGAAAUGGCUGAACAGGGCACCUUCGGCGGCACCUUCGGCGGCCGAAAGUCCCAGACAGAGACGAAACUCAGCUAGGUUCGGCGGCACCUUCGGCGGCCGAAAGUGCCAGACAGAGACGAAAGUCUCUUUUCGGGGGCAACUUCGGCAGCCGAAAGGCCUGCCUCCCCAGCCAUGUUCGGCGGCCGAAAGUACCUUCGGCUGCCGAACCUGGUUUCUGCCAAAGGGCAGAAACUUGCUCCCUUUGCACAUUUCGCCUCCAAAUCUAUAAAUCAUGCAUAUUUUUCAACCAAAGCAUGCAUACAAGUUCCUAGGGGCCUCAAACAUGCAUAUACCCCAUCUACAACACUUCAUUCAUACACAAUCAAGCUACAUUGUUCAUCAAAGCAUCAAAACCAUAAACUCAUCAACAAACUUAAACAUGCAUCUCUACCCCACAGAUCUUGCAUAAAACUUGUUUAAAACAUAAUGUAAGCUAGAGAUCGACUCUUACCUCUUGAAGAUCGAGAGUGGAGGCGAUCUAACUUGGAGUUGGGAGAGAUUGAGCUCCUUGGGUCUCCAAGUUCAAAACUUGCUCAAAACUCGUUUCAAAAGCUUAAAAACUUCAAAGCAAGAUGAAGACUUGUUAAAA
rnacentral:lncRNA from 1 species